rnacentral:rRNA from 1 species
GUAGGGUCCAAGCGUUAAUCGGAAUUACUGGGCGUAAAGCGUGCGCAGGCGGUUGUGCAAGACCGAUGUGAAAUCCCCGGGGCUUAACCUGGGAAUUGCAUUGGUGACUGCACGGCUAGAGUGUGUCAGAGGGGGGUAGAAUUCCACGUGUAGUAGUGAAAUGCGUAGAGAUGUGGAGGAAUACCGAUGGCGAAGGCAGCCCCCUGGGAUAACACUGACGCUCAUGCACGAAAGCGUGGGGAGCAAACAGGAUUAGAUACCCUGGUAGUCCACGCCCUAAACGAUGUCAACUAGUUGUUGGGGAUUCAUUUCCUUAGUAACGUAGCUAACGCGUGAAGUUGACCGCCUGGGGAGUACGGUCGCAAAGAUUAA